UCGGGACCGCUAAACCGAGUCACCGAAGUAUUUGAAUAUGAUAUUUAUUGUCUAAAAUAUGUGAAUAUGAAUGUGUGAAAGUUUUAAGCUUCGAUUUAGUCGAUUGCAUGUGAAUUUAAUUAAUAGGACUUAUGUGUGGCACUUUUAAAAGGUGAUAGGUUAAUCUAUAAGGACCUAUUAGUGCAUGUUAUGAAAAUAAUGGGCUUGCAUGUCAAAUUUCCACCUAUGACAAGUAGUGG
rnacentral:lncRNA from 1 species